UAGCCGUCGCGCCCGCACACCCCCUGCCGCCGCGCCGCCGCCGCUGUCGCUGGCGCUCGCCCCGGCCCCCAUCCUCCACCUGACGCCGCCCAUCGUCUCCUCCCCACCCCAUCACGCAUCCCUUCUCCUCCUCACCAUCGGGCCUGAGCAGGAGAACGAGCACCCUCCCUCGCAACCGCCUCAACGGGAGAAGAGCUCGAUCCCGGGUGUUUAGGCGUGUUGGUGAGCGCGGCGGCUGCCAUGGCUGAGCUCGAGCCCGGGCGCGGCGGCUGCCAUGGCUGAGCUCGAGCCCGGGCGCGGCGGAGCUUUGUUGAGCACGGUGGCGACCAGGCCAUGGCCGAGCUCGAGCUCGAGCGUCUCGUUCUCCCAUGGCUCCUGCGCGUGCCGCCCCUGGGUUCUGAAAAGCAACUGUUUGUUCCCUUCGUCGAGUCUUCGACCGUCCUGCGAACUGUUGCGUCGAGAUGUUGCAAGGCUUAUGGACUCUGUUGUUGGUUGGUCUGUGUUGUUGUUUUUUAUCGUCUUCAGGCAAGCCAUGUUCUUUCCUCCGAGAGAGAAAAGCCAAGCAAGAUUGGGCCCCAAGUUAUGAUCUUCAUCGCGUUAUGGUCACGCUCGGAGCUCUGCCGCCUCCAGAUCCACCCCGUCGAGAUUCCAGGUUCACCCUCCCCGCCAGCAAGCCUGCCAGAUCUUGAUUGGCUUUUCUCUCUCGGUCUGUUCGGUUCUGAGCUUUGCAUCCUGCUGCGUUCUUCGUCACCUAGGGCAUCCUCUCGAGCUUCCUCGAGUUGGAUUUGCAGACCAAGGACACACAUUUUGGAGAGCUCCUUGGUCAUCAGCUGGUCCAUCACAUGAGAGUGGAUGUUUCAGAAUGGUGCGGGCAGGUUGAGCAGCAAUAGAUGUUUUUUAAGUUCUAGAUUGUUACUACCGAGAAUGGAAUUGGAGAAGAGAUACUUUUGGUGUUGUCCUUUUACCUCACGUAUCUGACAGACGACACAAAACUAUCAGUUUAGUUGGGAAAACAAAAAAGUUCAGAUCAGUUGUGAGGAUAUAUGAUGAUUGGCAUACUUAGGCCAGAGUCUUGUAAUAACAUCUGCGACGUAGCGUCCCCUGUUAAAAAAGUCUAAAAGGUAAGUUAUGCCUUCUCUCUCGCUAAUCGAUUUUCUCUUGGCUUUUCUUUCUUUGCAGAUGAUCAUCUUUUGUGUAUUUUCACUAUUUAUUCUUGUAUCUAUAUAUGUUAAGCAAAUUGUUUCCUCUAUGACCAUGAUUCUAUAUGAUUACUAAGGUCUCUAACCUUCUCUUCUUUUCUAAUUAGAACAGGAUACUAAUCUGAUGUAUCUCCUAUUUGCGAUGACUAUUGAAGUCACGGGUUCAAGUCCUGGAAACAGCCUCUUACAGAAAUGUAGGGAAAGGCUGCGUACAAUAGACCCAAAGUGGUCGGACCCUUCCCCAGACCCUGCGCAAGCGGGAGCUACAUGCACUGGGGCUGCCCUAUUAAAUUAUGGAGUUUCUGUGUUGUCUACUGAAGCAGUCAAGCAUGCAAUCUGAGCAGAAUAUCAUUAAAAGGUCAUUGACCCAACAAAUUGAACUUAAUCUGAACCUCCCCUGUUCCUGCUAUAUAUCCUUAUUUUUCUGAACUUAACAACAGAACAACAUGAUAUAUUAGAUCACCAGAGCUUAAGUGUAAAAUUAUUCCUUACUGGUUGAGGAUUUGGAGAUGCAGUAUGUGGUUGGCGAAGGAUUUUUGUCUCCUAAGCUCCACACAUUCUCUUCCAUCUAAAACAAUCGACGCAGUCAAGUGGUGUAGUGGUUGAUGGUCGAGAGCUAAAAUCAAGGCACCAUCUUGUUUUAGGAUUUGUGUAUAUCUUUAGAUCCACCGUUACGAUCACAAUUAUUUGCCUGAGCUCUGGUGAUUACUCCCAAGGAUUACUCUACCAAAUAACAUUACCGAGGUAUCACUGUGUGCCUGGCUGGCUAUUCAUGUGUAGUACAGCAGUUUGUGGCCUUCUCUGUUUUGUCGAAUGCCAGUACUGUUCUGUCAAAUGCCAGUACUUGCUUUGUGACCCUUGAUGUAAUGUCUGUCAACUUCCAAAGUGUCACGUAACUAUGUAUCUGUAUCUUGGAUAUCGACAUGUCGUAAACCUGUAGCCCUUUGAAACAGGACCUGUUGUCUAUUGGUAUUACUGGUAUAAAAGAGAAAUUUUGUUUGUGCUGAUGCAAGAGGGCAGCAACCUUGACGCGGCGAUCACGUCGCUCCUUAGCGUGGAGAAGUAGUGCCACCUGGCCGGCAGCAGGAAGUCCGCCGAUCGUCGAGAUCUGCUUCAAGACGGCGCCUGGAAGAAGCUCAAUGACCAGAUCAUCGUCCUCUCCAAGUGGAGGGGCCAGUUCAAGCAGGUGGGAGAGCUUGCUGUUUGUCUUGUUGCUUAGUGUGUCCAUGAGCGUGCUCCCACCGUGUGCGCGCCCAGCCGUCCAUGAGGUCAAGCGACCACUUGUAUUUGUGGAUGAGGAACACCCCGGUGUUGAGGCCAACCCGGGACCUCAGUGACACGCGUCAGCGUCGAGACACCAGACCCACUCGACCUCCGGGUGGGCAAGCAUGGUGGUGUGAACGCGGCAAGGAUCUUGGCCCAAUAUGCCACCAUGGUGGGAUGCAUCAGCCGUGUUGUAUAAGAGCUCGAUCCUGUGGAGGCGGCUAUAGCCCAUAGUCGAGAGUUUUGUUGAGGAAGUGUAGGAGCACGUUGCUGCUUGCCGCUUUGUUGGUUCAUAGGUGGGACUGCGAUCCUGCUCGACACCAUGAGCAUGCAGUCCCCAAGAUCACACCAAGUACCGAGCCUAAGGAGAAAACACCCGGGCAGAUGUCUGUGAAGCGUUGUACACCGUCCUGCUCAUGCCGCUGGAGGGACAGAGAGGAGGACUUGGCCACGAGGUGCUGGAGCAAUGGGAAGGACCCGGCGGUGGUGUGGUCCACGUUGGCCUCCGGCCGCAACGGCGGCGUGGACAAAGCGAGUGUAGCCGCGAGAUCGGAGAGGUCGGCGCGCUAGCAGGUGCGGAGACGUCGACACGAGGUGGUCGGGGAGGACCAAACGACGAGCGAAAGGCCCGGGGCGUGCAUGCAGAAACUUCAUUUCUCUGCCUUUUUGUAGAAUGCUGCCAAUAAUGUUUUUAUUUUGAAUUUUUAUCAUGCGAGACAAGUUCUUCCUUUUGUUCAUAUAUAUACAAAUCUGAUAUAUUGUUGGCACAUAUUCUUCCUUUUGUUCGAUAUAGUGCUAUAUUUGCACUGAACAUAUACGAAACUAGCUAGCCCGUU